UGUAAUCCUAGCACUUUGGGAGGCUGAGGUGGGUGGAUCACUUGAGUCUGGGAGUUCGAGACCAGCCUGGCCAGCAUGGUGAAACCCCAUCUCUACUAAAAAUACAGAAAUUAGCAGGCAUGGUGGUGUGUGGCCGUAAUCUCAGCUAUUUGUGAGGCUGAGGUGGGAGAUUCGCUUGAACCCAGGAGGUGGAGGCUGCAGUAAGCGGAGAUCGUACCAUUGCACUCCAGCUUGGGUGACAGAGCAAGACUCUGUCUCAAAAAAAAAAAAAAUAGCUAGGCGUGGUGGCACAUUCCUGUAGUAUGAGCUACUUGGGAGGCUGAGGUGGGAGGAUCAUUUGAACCUGGGAAGUCGAGGCUCAAAGCUACAGUGAGCCAAGAUUGCACCCCUGCACUCUAGCCUAGGGGACAGAUCAAGACCCUGUAUCCAAAAAAUAAAUAAACACACAUAGAGACAUAAAAUAUAAAUAUAUAUAAUACACACAGAGACACAUACAUAUGCAAUACACAUAAAGAUAUAUAUAUACAUAUAUGGAGAGAGCCACACUUACAUACAGAGAGAUACAUAUAUAUAACAUACACAAACAGGCACCAUGCCCAGGCAUGCAAUGCUUCUAUUGUAAGGGAAAGGGAGGGAUGGAGAGGAACCUGUGAAUUAAAA
rnacentral:lncRNA from 1 species